GCAGCCGGUUUGUUUUCCUCUUUAGGGUUGCUACAUUGAUCCCACUCCCGCCUCCUCCCGCUGUCAGACCGGUCCUGAGCCGGUGAGAGUCAGUGUGACCCGGACUGCGGCAGUCCCGCUCUACCCCGGCUCACCCGGCCCUGUCCAUUUGUAAUGAGCGACGGACACAUCACAGCCGAGUGGCCUCGGGAGCGGCAGAUCAGACUCAACUCUCCGUACAGGGUGAGCACACCGGUGCAGGAACAUUGUCGGUCACCCGGGUAGUCAGACUGUGAUCUCCAGGGAUCACACUGAACGCCGUCUGGUUACAACAUCAGAGUUAGAUCUGGGCUGAGAGAUAUAUUGGAAGAAAAGCCCAGGACUGGAAGAAAACCACAACUGAAGACAAGGGAACAGCAACAAUCAACCAGCCCGAGGACUGAGAGCACCAAACGGAGAGAACCCCUCUGACUCAGAGUUUCCAUUGAUUCAGUCAGGGAAAGUUUGGGCAUCGCCAGCAAGUGGAGCUGUCCUGCACAGGGACUGAAGUGCAAACAAGAAGACGACAAUCAACAAUCGUCAG